GGGUAGGUGCCCGAGGGGUUAAAGGGACCAGACUGUAAAUCUGGCGCCGUACGGCUACGAAGGUUCGAAUCCUUCCCUGCCCA
rnacentral:tRNA from 2 species